rnacentral:rRNA from 1 species
CUACUUAGGUUUCCGUAGUGACCUGCGGAAGGACAUUA